rnacentral:rRNA from 1 species
ACUAACCAGGAUUCCCCCAGUAACGGCGAGCGAAGCGGGAACAGCUCGAGCAGGCAAUCUCUGGUGUCGAUCGCCAGCGAAUUGUGGCCGGUAGAGGCGGGUGCACCUGACGCGGCUCCGUCGAAGUUGACCUGGAAAGGCACGUCGGAGAGGGUGAUAACCCCGUGCGUGGCGGAGUCGCCGAUGGCCGCUACCGUCUUCGGAGAGUCGGGUUGUUUGGGAGUGCAGCCCAAAGUGGGUGGUAAACUCCAUCUAAAGCCAAAUAACGGCACGAGACCGAUAGCGAACAAGUACCAUGAGGGAAAGGUGAAAAGCACUUUGGAAAGAGAGUUAAAGAGGCCGCGAAACCGUUGGGAGGGAAACGCAUGCAGCCGAACGGGCCCGCGUCGGGUUCAAGGGGUUGCGAGGCGUUCGACGUGCCGUCGGCACCCCCGUGGGUCGACGGUGCGUGGAGGCGUCGUGCUCCCCUGCACUCUCGGCGACGAGGGCCGGCCAAGUGCGGCGGACACCGGGCGAGGAGCUCGCGUCGGGCAGGUAGCGCAGCCGUCUCUUCGACGGAGGCGAACUUACAGCCGGCCUUGCGGAGCGUCCGGGGUCCACCGAGGAGAGUGGUGGCACUUCCACCCGUGCAGCGCAGGUCCGCUUUUCUGCGGCCGGGGCGCUCUCGUCCGCUCGUCGGUCGUGCCGAGUCACUGCGUGCAGUGUCCGGCCGCGACCGUCCGUCGGGCGGGAGGUCGUCCCACGCCUUGCGCUUCGGCCGCUUGGCUAG